CCAAUUCCAUUUUAUGCAUACAAUUCCAAGAAACAAUAGUGAUGGAAAAAUGUCACUAUCACACAGUUGCCAUAUUCCUUAUUCCUGAUUCUACUAUCACACAGUUGCCAUAUCUACUACCACACAGUUUCUCAUUCUACAUGUCCUCACUCCAAUAGUAAGAAAAAUGAAAAGGAAAAAUAGAGCUAAUCUGCCAUUGAAAUGUCAUUAUUCCUGAGUAAUAUACAAUGGAACGGUGCAAUUUUACUACAGUCUCAUGGAUUCACUCUGCCACUUCGACAUCUCAUUAUCCUGCAGCGAUGGAAAUGAGCAUCAGCAAGGCAUAUAGAUAUAAUGAAGAAAUGGAGAGGAAGCAUAAUCUCAGACGAUACAGGAGAAAAGGACUAAGAUUCUCAUACAAUGCGAAUAUGCACUGUAAGUACACAUAUAUUUCAGUUACAAAAAGAUAUUCAGUUAAAAAGUGACAAAUAACUGAAUGAAACUCAGACUAUAUAUUUCAGUUACAAAAAAUAUUUCAGCUUAGGAAUGCAGUGUAUAAAUCAGACUAAAUAGAUAACACUACCGAAGCUUAAAUUUUAAAUGUGCAGUUUAAGUACGAGCACCUACCAACUGAAUAUAGCAAGCUAGCAUAAAUGUCAACUGGCGCAUGAUUUUCCUUAGUGCAUUCGCACUAGGAAACUAGUCCUAACACAUCAAUAUUUUGAUCAGCAUUAUCCUACAGACCCUGUGUAGCAGAGUUGAUGAUCUUAUUAUCCUACAGACCCAUCACUCAAGUGCAUAACUAACAGUAGUAACCAUCAACAGUACAGACGUAUGUAAUAACGUUACUAACUCAAAGAAGAUGCUAGGGGUUUGUUAAGAAUGCUAAAUAUCUCUAAGUUACCAAAGCUAGUGAGAAUCAUCUCAAAUUCGUAAACCCACUUCAUUUAUCUUGUUCCGACUUGUGAAUGGCGACUGAAUUUGUUUUAGACAGUAAGUAAGGUUGGUAACUGUGCAGCAGAGUGGCAGGAUUCAGAUACUAUUGCAGAAAGAAUGGUGGUGGUAAUGCAGGAACAGAAGGCGGCACAUCUCCAGGAGGAAGCUUAGAGGCACAAAAGUUCAGGCAACUUCAUCCUCCAAGACGACAUGUACGCGCACAACUCCCAACCCGCCGCCUCACCUAGGAGGAGAAGCCAAGAGCGCAGAGAGAAUCAAGACCCCGGCGGAACAGAGUAAGUCGAGAAGAGAGCACCCACCUCCGUUCCCGGCGACGGCGUCAAUGCGCCACCCUAAGGCAGCGGCGUCCGAUCUACCAAUGCAUCUGGCAAAGGAAAAGGCGACGGACGACCAGGGCGGACUCUGCUGGAACAGCCGCUUCGGCGUGUACACCCUCACCUGCAUGCCCAUCGCGCCAUGCAUGGAUCAGUAAUCUACUGCUGGACUGCUGGUUGGUACUUUGGUCAACAAAAGAAAAGAUGCAGCAACAUUCCAUGGAGAAAAAGGGGUGUCAAGUUAAGUUUUGUUUCAUCAUUGUGUCAUGCUAUGGUGCAUUUAGCUUUAUCACUUUGGGAAACAUUUGUUCCACUCCACUUUACUCUACUAGGGUUAUACUCCUUAUGUUUCCUCUACAUCCAAUUAGUCAAAAGAGUGUCUCGCGGCAGUGUAUGUAUGUAUGUAUGUCUCAGUGCUAAGAAUGUUCCGUCUUUUGGGAGCAUCUUUUCGGAAAUCUGAAACUUCUCGUGCGUGCUAGAGUCUAGAGAGGAGGUGGAGUAGUUCUUCAUACCGCGGGAUCAGAGUGGCUGCCGGAGCAAAGCGCGAAGCGCAGUAGAUGCUCGGGUCGAUGGAUGAAGGCUUGCCAUUGCCCCCCUGCUUUGCUCCCUCUGCUUUUCAUCCUUGGGUGCAGCAAAGUCCUCGGCCACUGCAUGCGCCGGCCAAAGGGUUUACAAUCAGAAUUUGUCCACACAUUUAAUCGAGUAUUGCAGGAAUAUUGUGCUCGAUCUGCACCAUGCUUUCUUGACCAAAUGAUGCAGCAUUGGAGAUACUACUACUCUUUUCUACAGAAACUUAAAUUACCGAGAGCUGAACCAAACCCUAUGUCAUUCACAAGUAUCACAUCAUUCUCUACUCUAUUCUACUAACAUGCACAGAUUUAACUAAUUCAUUGGGCAUGGCACGUCAUACUCUUCUCACGGCGCAUUACACGGUUUUCUUUUAAUAACCCUAUUAUCUGAGAUAAACACCUAAGAUCAGACUAUGUGCACUUGACAUUACCUAAGCUCUCCUAGAACUGCAUUCUGUAUCACUAGUAGGGAAAAGCCUAUACACAGAAUUUUAGCAGUAGCGCAUGUUAAAAAAGGGCGCUACUGCUAACCGCGCUGCAGAUACAUAUAUAGCAGUAGCGCGUCCCGCUGUAACAGCGCUACUACAAAAAUUCCCACCACUAAGCCGAUCGGCUACACAUAAUAGUAGCGCUCUUUCAGAAACAGCGCUGCCGCUAAUUUUGUUGUAGCAGCGCGUUUAUGUGUAAGGCGCUACUGCUAACCAAAAUAAAUUAAAAUGAAAAACAAGUAGAAAAGUAAAUGAAAAUGAAAGAAAUAGAAAAAGGAGAAAGGAAAAAAAUAAAAUGUAAAGAAAAAUAAAUGAAAAAGGGGAAAAAGGAGAAAGGAAUAGCAGUAGCGCGUUUCAGGAAACGCGCAGUAGCUAACUUAGCUAUAGCGCGUUUUCAAGCACGCGCUACCGUUACGUUCCUCUUAAACAGCGGUUUCCCUCCCCCGACCACCAGUUCUUCCCCAAAUCCCUCGCCCUCGCUGCCGUCUCCCCAAUUCGCCGUCGCCCCACUUCGCCGCCGUCUCCUGCCGGCGUGGACGCCCGCAACCUCACCGUCUCCCCACGAGGCUGCCGUCAUCCUCACCGCUGCUGCCCGAGGCCGCCCUCGACCUCACCGUCGCCGCCCUCCACCUCACCGCCGCCCGAGCCCGCCCAGGACUACCGUUGCCCGUGCCCGAGCCCGCCCUCUCCGCCCCUGCCUCCGUCACCGAGNNNNNNNNNNNNNNNNNNNNNNNNNNNNNNNNNNNNNNNNNNNNNNNNNNNNNNNNNNNNNNNNNNNNNNNNNNNNNNNNNNNNNNNNNNNNNNNNNNNNNNNNNNNNNNNNNNNNNNNNNNNNNNNNNNNNNNNNNNNNNNNNNNNNNNNNNNNNNNNNNNNNNNNNNNNNNNNNNNNNNNNNNNNNNNNNNNNNNNNNNNNNNNNNNNNNNNNNNNNNNNNNNNNNNNNNNNNNNNNNNNNNNNNNNNNNNNNNNNNNNNNNNNNNNNNNNNNNNNNNNNNNNNNNNNNNNNNNNNNNNNNNNNNNNNNNNNNNNNNNNNNNNNNNNNNNNNNUUAGAUUAAAAAUUAGUAGAGAAAAAGUUAGUUUAUAGCAAAAAAUUUAGUUUAGAGCAAAGGAUGUUAAGUAGUAGAUGUUAGAGCAAAAAUUAGUUUAGAGCAAAAAAAUUGGUUUACAGCAAAAGUUAGUUAGGGCAGUAGGGUUUAAUUAGGGUAGAUGCUGCUUGUAGUAUAUAGUGAUACUAGUAGAUGUUAAUUAGGUUAGGGCAGUAGUGGUACUAGUAGAUGUUAAUUAGAUGUUUUCAGUUAGGGAAGUAGAGUUUUGCUAUGUUAAUUAGGUUAGUAGUGCUGCUAGUAGUAGUGGUACAGUAGGUUAAUUAGGUGAAGUUAAAUGAAUAACCUAAAUGAAUGAAAAUAGUAGUUAACUGAAUUGUUUUUCCUUUCAUCAUUAUAGAGCACUAAAGUUAACUGAAUUUUGUUCUAUUAGUAGUUAAAUGAAUUUUUUCUACACUUUGUUUUUGAAUUAGCUUGUGAAAUUUGGACAUGUGGUUGCUCGUGUAUAUUUGGACAUGUGUUGCGGUGUCGAAGAGGGUGAACACUGUUUCCAGGGAAUGAAGCUGAGUGGCCUAUGUUUUGCCGGAAUGUUGAUUCAUUUCCGUUCCGGCAAAUAUCAGGUUCUCGAUUUGUCCACUUUUUAGCAAAGGUCAUGUCGAAAUUUUUCGUGAAUUUCGGCAUGACUUGUGCUAAAAACUAGGACAUAUCGAGUGCCCGGGAUUUGCCGCACCAGGAAGGAGUCAACGUUCCUGCAAAACAAUAGGCCUUUUUUAUGUCAUUAUUCAUUUUAUUAGGUCUAGAAUUAAUUGACUAGAUUUAAUCAUAGGAAACAUGGCUACCAACGAUGAUGGACAGGGUUCUGGUGAUUGCGAUGAUGUCUACCGGGUGGCAGACGAAUUUUUGAGCCUUGUAGACGAUCAAGCGAUGUUGUUGCUAGGCCCACCGGUGGCAUCGGGGACUGAGACCGACACGCAGACCGGUGCUGAGACUGAGAACGGCGCUGAGACUCAGACCGGCAUCGAGACCGGCGCUGAGACUGAGACCGGCGUUGCCUCGGGGAGUGGAGCCGGUGUAGAACCGAAAUCAAAGAGGGCGGCUUCCUAACAAACUCAGGACUACUAGACUGGUGGUCGCGGAGGUGGACGACGGCAAUUUUGAGCCAAAGGCGCCCGAGGAAGCGCGUCGAUGCUACGGCAAUAAAAUAGGUUGCAUGGUACGGACAACCGCCACCAUCAACGAUGAGAAAUUACAGAAGAUAGAUAAUAUGAGGCCCUCCCUCCUAAAGAAGUUUCACCAGAUAUUCUUGUUCCCGGGCCGGAAUUAUGAGAAGGAUUAUGAAGAUCUAGAUAAGGACCUGGCAAUGAAGAAGAUAAACAAACACGCCAUGACCAAGUUUAGCGAUGCGUUGGCCGCCUGGAAAGCAAGGGUGAAAGCAAGGAUCAUCGACAAGGAACCCUACUCCGAGAUUGUAAAGGAUAAUCCGACAAUCACGGAAGAGCAGUUUCAAAUAUUCAAGGAGACUUGCAAGGCCGAAGCUGCCAAAAAAAGUCUAAGUACACGAAGGGGCUUCAAGAGAGGAACAUUGGGAGCCACCACCUCGGAAGCCGUGGUUACAGCGAAAAGAGGUCCAAAUGGGCCAAGGAGGACACGGAAGCCGCGAGUAUGGGCAUCCCAGACCCCUUGGCGGAGUUCACCGUCCCGCAGGAGCGUGACGUCCUCAGGGCCCGGCACCGUUGGGACCCUGUGAAGAAGGUUUACAAGACAAACCCGGUCACGACGGAGUUCAUGAGACUGUUGUUAAUUUUAGUUUCUGAUCAAUUCAACUGCACACGUUAGUCAUAUUUGUAAACGAUCCUUGUGCCUUUUGCAGAGAGAGCAGCACAGGAUUGCGGCCGAAAGCGACUUGCCAUCUGAGGCAUUGGCGAGGCCCAAGUGGGACACUCCAUUCAACCGGGCGUUGAACAUAUUGAAACGACUCCCGGUGCAUACUCGACCAUCGUAUGGACGCGUGCACGGUGUCGAAGACGGCGCCACGUGGAAGAAGUACUACCGUGAGACCACGGAGGAGAGAAAGGAAAGACGGAGGUUAACUGAAGAAAACAUCGACAAGAAGGUUGAGAUUGCAGUUGAGAAGAAAUCAUCUCAGACAGUCGUAACAGCGGUAGCUGCCGCAAAACAGGUGGUUGCAGAUAUAUCUACUUCGUUGGUUCGGGCUGUUUUAACUUGGACCAGGCAAAAUCCAGAAAAAAAUGUGGAGGACUUUUCCCUUGCUGACUUCGUGGGGAGCAGCUCGACUAGCGUUGCACCAGCACCAACUCAGGGUUUGAGCGUCAUGAGUCGGUGCCUGAAUUGCCAUCUCCGGAGGCUGAAGGUAUUAUGGACGACCUUCCGGUAGUAAAGAAGUCUAGGAAGAGAGCGAGGAAAGGGAAAAAAGCUGAUUCUAUGAUCCAGCCGCCUCAGCAGCCGCGGCUUCGGGACCGUAUAGACAUCCCCGAUGCGGAUAAAUGGCAUAUCCCCGGUCAACCAAUCCUACAUGCAAGAGCGCUAGGGGCCAGAUAUGGCGAUCUAAGGAGACUUCAUGACGAUGUGCUGCGGAUAGAGAAAGGCCUCAUCGCCUCGAAAGAUCCAGGAUACCCACUCUACGUGGUUAACGUUCCGCGGCAAAUGUCGUACAUCGACUGCUUCCCUGCGGAUAAGUUCUUCCUUCGAUUCGAUUACAUAUUCGACAUGUUUCACGUGAAGAAGCUGGAUUAUACGUUUGUCCGCCUUUAUGCCUUGCACAUGAACUACAUCAUCGGGGUUGAGCAGAUACCUCAUAUCUGUGUCGCUGACCCGUACUACAUGCACGAGGGCUUCUUGGGAGUCUGCGCAAAGCACCGUGAAUACGCGAGGGAAUACAUCGUCAGUUUCAUGCUCGCCAAUAAGGACAAGGAGGCGAUUCUCGUGCCUUAUCAUCCCGUGUAAGUCAUCCGCGCGGUUAUCCUUCCUUUGAUUUCAAUCAUUCAUUUGCACGGUGGAGGCUAAUUAAUUUGAGGUGUACUUAUUUUGCGCAGCAGCGGGCGCGCCGUCCUCAUCAUCCUCUACCCCCGAUACUCCCACGCUCUUUACUUGGACUCGUCGAAGAACAUUCACAAAAAGGAUUACACCCACAUCAAGGAUGUUCUCGAGAGUGCUAUGUUUUACUACCAAGCACGGGGUGGAGAGGUCAAGGACAAGAAGAGAAGGGGCGGCAGGCUCGCCUUCGGCCAUAAGACCGACUUCUCUUGCAUCCAGCAACCGAGCGAUUCUCUUAAUGAUGGAUUCUAUGUCCUACACCACAUGCUGGAGUAUAGACGGGAUCACCAGAACCUUCGCAUGUCACCUAGAUCCGGUGAUGCCCAUAUUCUGCAAUGGCCAAAGGACAUAGGAGAUAUCGAGGAUCAUCGACUUCGAGCUGAGUUCUAUAACAUCCAGCGUGAACUUGCCCAAAUCAUCAUGAAGGAGGUCGUUGGAAAAACAGGCAUGUUCUACGGAGAAGGACAAAUGACGCGGGAAGACGUCCGAACAUGGGUAGCCUCUCAGCGUCUCGACAUGAAGCCUUUCACUAAGCUCGGGGACUAUCUCCCUGACAUGGAUGGAUGGCACGACAUGUUGGAGUGAUUGUCGAUAUAUGACAAUGUGUCCGUUUAGUCCAUACUUUCUGUAUGACAAAACUUUGAGUUAUGCACGGCGAAACUUUAUUUGUGAUGUAAUUAAACCGUCCUCCUCCUCGACUGGCGAAGAUCACUCUAGUUAGGGCAUUAUGGGUACGAUGAACUUUGUUAUUUAUGCUUAUGAUAUGUUGUUUCUAUUUUUGCCAAGUCUGUCUCUUUCUGUUGCUCAACUAUAUAUGUUGCAUAUCAUCGACUCAUGUGACGAUGCAGGUGCAUAGAUCAUCGAUGGCGAAGAAGUGCUAUGCCAGGAGUAUAUAUACGACGAGUGGCCGGAGUGUCAGGCCCAGGUGUACCGGUUUCCCGUUUCCGAGCGACAGGUAGUAGUUAGUUUAGGUUCACGCUAAUGCGAGAGAGGGAUACAAACUCAUGUACUACAUAGUUCCGCUCUCACUCAAAGUGGUAGCUCUUCUGGCGUAUAUCAUUGUUUAGAUGGAUGAUGAUGUAUUUGCAAGUAAUCUAGACUAUUUGUAUGUAUAUGCUAUGAUUACAUUUGUGGUCUCGCAGCCAUUUGUAUGUGUAUCAUGAUGACAUUUAUAUCUGCUAAAGAUUCUUGUAUAAAGCCUAUUCAAAUACAAAAAAAUAUGCAGAAAAAAACAAAAACUACUAAAAUUAGUAGUAGCGAGUGGAAAAAAGUUAGCAGCAGCGUCACAGUAGCAGUAGCGCGUCCAGGCAAUGCGCGCUAGAGCUAUUAGAAGUAGCGAGCUUCCACAAAGCACGCUGCUGCUACACCUGUAUAGCAGUAGCGCGGGUGUCCACACGCUGCUGCUACGGGUUAGCUGUAGUGCCUUAUUAGUAGCGUCUGUCCCCGCGCUACUAAUGUACCUAUAACCCGCGCUGCUCCUAGGCUUUUCCCUAGUAGUGUAUGUUUAUAUAUGCUACAAACAUUGCCAAAUUUGUACUGAAACUUUUUUCUGUGUGUGAAUGCUGAAACUUGAAUUUCUAAGAGCUGAACCCAGACAUGUGUCCUUCACAUGUGUCACACCACUAUCUACUCUUUUCUACUACUACUACUACUAGCAAGUGUAGCAUGCACAGAUUAAACAAACUCAUCUCACGCCACAAAACAAACACCCACCUCAAAGGACAGAGCAGCCUCACCAUGAGCCAUGGAGAACUUCAGAGCUUCAGGGAUGCCCC
rnacentral:lncRNA from 1 species